GACAAACGCUGGCGGCGUGCUUAACACAUGCAAGUCGAACGGUACUCCUACGGGAGUAUAGUGGCGGACGGGUGAGUAACACGUAGCUAAUCUACCCUGAUGUGGGGAAUAACCCCUCGAAAGAGGAGCUAAGACCGCAUAAGUUCUCUCUUGUUAGAGAGAGAAGAAACUUUGGCAGUGAAAAGCCAGAGGCGUUAGGAUGAGGCUGCGGCGGAUUAGCUAGAUGGNGGGGUAAAAGCCUACCAUGGCGACGAUCCGUAGCUGGUCUGAGAGGACGACCAGCCACACUGGGACUGAGACACGGCCCAGACUCCUACGGGAGCAGCAGUGAGGAAUACUCCACAAUGGGCGCAAGCCUGAUGGAGCGACG
rnacentral:rRNA from 1 species